UGGCUCCAAAGUACUGGAAGAAAUAAAAGAAGGGAUGUCCCUUAGAUCUCAAAGAAAGGAUCCAUGAGACAAAAGACGGUCAUACUUUAUUCAGCCUAGAGUAAAACAAUCUAUAUACAAUUCAACACUAUCAUUAUGUACCAGUAUGUUCCUAGUCCCAGAAGUUACAAGGAGCGCAUAAGGAAAGCAGAGUCUUCAAGAAGACAUCACUAAUGACUGAAGAUGAUCUCUCUUAACCGUGGCAUCCAUCCCCACCAAUGAGUCUUCUAUCAGUCUCUCCCUCAUUGUUGCACUUGUACAAUGGAAGAUGGGGCAUUGUAUAGUGAACUUGCGCAUCUUAAAAAGGAUACAGGGCUUCAUGAAAUAGGUGCAAGUCAGAGGGAAACUGCUUGAAGCCCAAGCCCUUGGCAAAUGAAGACCUGGCAGUCAGGUUAGUUAACAACUAAAUAAGGGAAAAUAGAUGAGGAAGACACCAUUGGUAUAUACUUCAAAAGCGAAAGAUUUGAAUAUCAAAGGAUUAAGAAAGCCCCUUGGGAAAAUCAAUGAAGCUCUUGAAUAUUUCUGCAGAAAUGACCUUCUAUAUCUCACCAUGAAAGUCAAAUGUGAAAGAUGUCUUACUAAGCUAUUAUAGAAUCUUAUCAGAAUAAAUGCACCAAAUAAUCAA